ensembl:piRNA 21ur-4166 ncRNA
UGAUUCAUACUCCACCAUCAA